rnacentral:rRNA from 1 species
UAGGGAAUCUUCGGCAAUGGACGAAAGUCUGACCGAGCAACGCCGCGUGAGUGAAGAAGGUUUUCGGAUCGUAAAGCUCUGUUGUAAGAGAAGAACGAGUGUGAGAGUGGAAAGUUCACACUGUGACGGUAUCUUACCAGAAAGGGACGGCUAACUACGUGCCAGCAGCCGCGGUAAUACGUAGGUCCCGAGCGUUGUCCGGAUUUAUUGGGCGUAAAGCGAGCGCAGGCGGUUAGAUAAGUCUGAAGUUAAAGGCUGUGGCUUAACCAUAGUACGCUUUGGAAACUGUUUAACUUGAGUGCAAGAGGGGAGAGUGGAAUUCCAUGUGUAGCGGUGAAAUGCGUAGAUAUAUGGAGGAACACCGGUGGCGAAAGCGGCUCUCUGGCUUGUAACUGACGCUGAGGCUCGAAAGCGUGGGGAGCAAACAGGAUUAGAUACCCUGGUAGUCCACGCCGUANCGAUGAGUGCUAGGUGUUAGACCCUUUCCGGGGUUUAGUGCCGGAGCUAACGCGUUAAGUCGACCGCCUGGGGAGUACGGCCGCAAGGU